rnacentral:rRNA from 1 species
UGUUACGGUCAUAUCAUGUUGAAUGCACCAGUUCUUGUCUGAUCAUUGAAGUUAAGCAACGUCAAGCCUAGUUAGUACUUAAAUGGGUGACCGCUUGGGAAACCUAGGUGUUGUAAGCA